AUUGCUUUUGGAGGAAGCGGUGGAGGGACUACCACAGCUAGGAAGCCUGCGGCGUAGGAGCUUCUCGGGACCGUGGGAGGAUGCUUACCGCACACCGGAGAGGGUAGCACGCGCUUCCCGGAGGCGCCCCCACGCGCGUCCGCUCUCAGCAGACCCCGGGGCUUGCGUAUGUGCGGAGUCCUCCAGGAGGCCACCAGCUCUCCACAUUGGGCAAUCUCAAACGCUUCCUCUGCAAGUGGAGGGUGUUUACCAGAAGGAAGUUAUGGAUCUGGAGAUUCAAAUACUCAGAAAGAGGGAAUCAGUAUGUCUGCCACUUUACAGAAUUUACUAACGAGCACGAAUUGCUUACAUUGCUGCCAGGUUUCCAAGUUACCUUCUGCUUCUCCGUGUUGUGAGAUGGUCUAGUCAAAGACAAUGAAAGACAGAGACAAGCACUUGCAAGCCACAUGGAUGGAGAAAGAAGUGCUCUGUGAAGUUGAGUAGGAAGAAAACCAAGGCAAAAGCACAAGAAAGCGAAUUAUCACAGGAAAGUUGUUGAGCUGUGCUUGGUUCAGAAGGGCUGGAGGCACACAAGACAAAGGGCAGAGACCAGGAUGUAGGAAAGAGUCAAAUCACAAUAUGUCACACCAAAGGACUAAGUCAUCAUAGGUUUGUGCCUGUUAGAGAGGAUCAGUGGGUUAUACAAGAUAUAUAUAUAUAUAUAUACAUAUAUAUGUAUAUAUAUGAAUAUAUAUCUUAAAUAUAUAUAUUUAUUUAACUUCAUAGUAUUUAAAAGGAAAAGUCUGUCUGAGUUACUGUUUUUCCAGUAGUUUAAUUAGGGUCAAGACAAAUUUAUUGAAGUUAAAAUAUGAUUUUCUCUAAAGGGAAUCUAUUAAAAUACCAAGACCACAAGUGGCAUGUGAGGAUCUUGAAGUUGGCAGAACUUUGAAGUGUGAGAAAUUCUGAUGUCAGCGAGGGACAGGGGACGUUUGAAAUGCUGCAAUCAUGACAGUUCCUUCAAUUUUGGAUUUUGGAGAACUCAGGCUGUACUAGAGAGAAGACUGGAAGUUCAAGAAGUCUUAUAGCUGGCUUUGGUGAUGUAGGCCUGAAAAGAGAGUACUCAGGAGGCAGUGAUAGGAGAACGGAAAGUUUAAGAUCAACCUGGGCUACACAGUGAGACUCUGGAAAAGCAAAGUCAAAAGCAAGGACAGCAGAAAGAACAUUACAAUAAAGGAUAGCUGCAAAAAUAGUAGUCUUUGCCAAGAGCCAUAAUUCUAAAAAUGGAAAGCAACACAAAACAAAACACUUAGAUUGAGGAAAGACACAGGGUUGCUUUUAACCUGUCUUGGUUGUUUUUAGAUUUCAGUAUCAAUUGUCUCCCACAGGCUCAUGUGUUUGAACACCUGAUUCCAGCUGCUGGUAUGAUUUGGGAAGGUCUGGAAGCUUGAGAAUUUCAGCCCUAGCUCUAGAAGGUGGCUUGCUUUGGGCUGGGCCUUGAGGUUCUAGCCCCUCUGCUGGUCCCAUCUCUCUACUUCCUCCUCAGCCACCCAGAUGUGAGUGAGCAGCCUCAUGCUCCUGCCAUAGUCCCAGCUACGUCAGGUGCCAUGCAUUUCCCUCUCAAACAUCGAGUCAAAGUCAAUUCUUCUUCCUUUAAGUUGCAUUUGGUCAGUAUGAAAAAAGGAAUGCAGGAAAUUAAAACUGAGAAGUAAUUCUCAGAAACCAAAUCGAAGAACACAUCAAAACAUUAUCCAUCAUGAUCAAAUAGGCUUCAUCCCAUGAUGCAGGGAUGGUUCAAUAUAUGGAAAUCUAUCAAUGUAAUCCACUAUAUAAACAAACUCAAAGAAAUAAAAAACACGUGAGCAUCCCAUUAGAUGCUGAGAAAACAUUUGACAAAAUUCAACACCGCUUCAUGUUAAAAGUCUUGGAAAGAUCAGGAAUUCAAGGCCCAUACCUAAACAUAGUAAAAGCAAUAUAUAGCAAACCAGUAGCCAACAUCAAACUAAAUGGAGAGAAACUUGAAGCAAUCUCACUAAAAUCAGAGACUAGACAAGGCUGCCUACUCUUUCCCUAUUUAUUCAAUAUAGUACUCGAAGUCCUAGCCAGAGCAAUCAGACAACAAAUGGAGGUCAAAAGAAUACUAAUUGGAAAGGAAGAAGUCAAAAUAUUAUUAUUUGCAAAUGAUAUUAUAGUAUAUUUAAGUGACCCCAAAAAUUCCAUCAGAGAAUUCCUAAACCUGAUAAACUACUUCAGCAAAGUGACUGGAUAUAAAAUUAACUCAAAUCAGUAGCCUUCCUCUACUCAAAGGAUAAACAGGCUGGGAAAGAAAUUAGCAAGUGACACCCUUCACAAUAGUCACAAAUAAUGUAAAAUACCUCGGUGUGACUCUAACCAAGCAAGUCAAAGAUCUGUAUGAUAAGAACAUCAAGUCUCUGAUGAAAGAAAUUGAAGAAGAUCUCAGAAGAUGGAAAGAUCUUCCAUGCUCAUGGAUUGACAGGAUUAACAGUAAAAAUGGCCAUCUUGCCAAAAGCAAUCUACAGGUUCAAUGCAAUCCCCAUCAAAAUUCCAACUCAAAUUCUUCAUAGAGUUAAAAAGAGCAAUUUGCAAAUUCAUUUGGAAUAACAAAAAACCCAGGAUAGAGAAAACUAUCUUCAACAAUAAAAGAACAUCUGGGGGAAUUACCAUCCCUGACCUCAAGCUGUAUUACAGAGAAAUAGUGAUAAAAACUAUAUGUUAUUGGUACAGAGACAGGCAGAUAGAUCAGUGGAACAGAAUUGAAGACCCAGAAAUGAACCGACACACCUAUGGUCACUUGAUCUUUGACAAAGGAGCUAAAACCAUUCAGUAGAAAAAAGAUAGCAUUUUCAACAAAUGGUGCUGGUUCAACUGGCAGUCAGCAUGUAGAAGAAUGCAAAUCGAUCCAUUCUUAUUGGCCUGUACAAAGCUCAAGUCCAAGUGGAUCAAAGACCUCCACAUAAAACCAGAUACACUCAAACUAAUAGAAGAAAAAGUGGGGAAGAGCCUUGGACACAUGGGCACUGGGGAAAUUUUCCUGACCAAAACACCAGUGGCUUAUGCUCUAAGAUCAAGAAUUGACAAAUGUGACUUCAUAAAAUUGCAAAGCUUCUGUAAGGCAAAGGACACUGUCAUUAGGACAAAAUGGCAACCAACAGGUUGGGAAAAGAUCUCUACCAAUCCUACAUCUGAUAGAGGGCUAAUAUCCAGUAUAUACAAAGAGCUCAAGAAGUUAGAUUCCAGAGAAUCAAAUAGCCCUAUUAAAAAAUGGGGAACAUCACUUCUUGGUCUUUUGGCUAAGCUAAGAUCAAGUGUAAAAAAUGGGGAACAGAACUAAACAAUUCUCAACUGAGGAAUAUUGAAUGACUGAGAAGUACCUAAAGAAAUGUUCAACAUCCUUAGUAGUCAGGGAAAUGCAAAUCAAUACAACCCUGAGAGUCUACCUCACACCCAUCAGAAUGGCUAAGAUCAAAAACUCAGGUGACAACAGAUGCUGGCGAGGAUGUGGAGAAAGGAGAAUACUCCUCCAUUGUUGCUGGGAUUGCAAGCUGAUACAACGACUCUGGAAGUCAGUCUGGAGGUUCCUCAGAAAAUUGGACAUAGUACUACAUGAAGACCCAGCUAUACCACUUCUGGGCAUAUACCCAAAAGAUGCUUCAACAUAUAACAAGGACACAUGAUCCACUAUGUUCAUAGCAUCCUUAUUUAUAAUAGCCAGAAACUGGAAAGAACCCAGAUGCCCUUCAACAGAGGAAUGGAUGUGGAAAAUAUGGUACAUUUACACAAUGGAGUACUACUCGGCUAUUAAAAACAAUGACUUUAAGAAAUUCAUAGGCAGGGCUGGAGAGAUGGCUCAGCGGUUAAGAGCACUGACUGCUCUUCCAGAGGUCCUGAGUUCAAAUCCCAGCAACCACAUGGUGGGUCACAACCAUCCAUAAUGGGAUCUGAUGUCCCCUUCAGGUGUAUCUGAAGACAGCAACAGUGUACUUACAUAUAGGGAAUAAAUAAAAUAAAAAUCUUAAAAAAAAAGAAAAAAAAAGAAAUUCAUAGGCAAAGGCAUGGAACUAGAAAAUAUCCUGAGUGAGGUAACCCAAUCUCUCUCUCUCUCUCUCUCUCUCUCUCUCUCUCUCUCUCUCUCUCUCUCUCACACACACACACACACACACACACACACACACCAUACAAGGUAUCUACUCACUGAUAAGUUGAUAUUCGCCCCAAAGUUCAGAUUACCCAAUGAUAUAAUCCACAGACCACAUGCAGCUCAAGAAGAAGGACUACCAAAGUGUGGAUGCUUCAGUCCUUCUUACAAGGGGGAACGAAAAUAUUCAUAGGAGGAAAUAUGGAGACAAAGUUUGGAGCAGAGACUGAAGGAAAAGCCAUUCAGAGCCUGCCCUGCCUAGGGAUCCAGCCCAAACACAUACAGCCACCAAACCCAGACAAUAUUGCUGAUGCCAAGAAGUUCAUGCUGAUAGGAGCUUGGAGAACAGGAGGAGUUAGAGAAGGGAUUGAAGAAACUGAAGGGGUUUGCAACUCCUUAAGAACACCAAUACCAAUCAACCAGAACUCCCAGGGACUAAACCACCAUCCAAAGAGUACACAGGGACAGACCCAUGGCUCCAGCUGCAUAUAUAGCAGAGGAUGGCCUUAUUGGGCACCGAUGGUAGGAGAAGCCCUUGGUUCUGCCAAGGCUGGAUCCCCACAGUAUAAGGGAAUGUCAGGGUGGGGAGGCGGGAAGGAGUGGGUGGAUGGGUAGGGGAACACCCUCAUAGAAGAAGGGGGAGGGGGAUGAGUUGGGGGUUUCUGGACAGAAAACCAGGAAAGGGGAUAACAUUUGAAAUGUAAAUAAAAAUAUCCAAUUAAAAAGUCCCCAAAAUAAAAAAAAGUAUGCUGGAAGCACCAGGUUUUAAAAAAACAAAACAAAAACUGAGAAGUAAAGCUAUUGCUGUGAUAACCCUGACCAAACGGUUUGUAUGUGUUUGGAAGUAGAACACAGGAGAAAUAUGGAAAGAAUUUAGAGCCAUGACCUUGCAAAGCCUCAGUAUGCUGUAAGCUCACAGUUCUAAGGUAAAGGGAAGUUCAAGGUGGCAGGGGUUUGAGAGAGCUAGACAUGUCCUAUCCCUAAUCGGGAGCAGAGAACACUGAAUGCAUGCUCUCUAGUGCUUUAUUCUUUUUUUUUUUUUUUUUUUGUUUCUUUUGGUUCUUUUUUUUCGGAGCUGGGGACCGAACCCAGGGCCUUGCGCUUCCUAGGUAAGCGCUCUACCACUGAGCUAAAUCCCCAGCCCCCUAGUGCUUCAGAAUCCUCUGCCUAGGGAAUGGUGCCACCUAUAGUGGCUGUGUCUUCCUACCUCAUUUACUAUAAUUAAGAUAGUUCCCCCCACAGGCAUGCACACAGACCAACCUAAUCUAGACAGUCUCAUUGAGACUCCCUUCACAGGUGAGUCUAGAUUGUAUCAAAUGGACAAAACUAGCAAGUACAAUAACAGACAAAGCAGUGAGAGAUUACAGGGUGUCUUAGUUACUUUUCUCUGGCUGUGAAGAUAGACCAUGACCAAGGCAACCCAUUUAAAAGGAAGCAUUUAAUUGGGGGCUUCCUUAUUGUUCUGUGUUUGCUGGGCUAGGUUUUGGCCUUGCUCUUGUCUGGUGUUUUCUUGCUAGCAUUCCAUUAUUCACUUUUGGAGUGGGAAUGCUUAGUCUGUGCCACAGUAUAUUGAAAUGAAGUAACCUAAUGCUUUGCUUUGCUGGGGUUUAUACUGAGUCCCUUGAGUCUAGAAGACACUUUUGACUUCUGAACAAUAUUGGAGCUGUAAGCCUUUUAAAAAGUAUUUUUUUUUCCAUUUCAUUUGUUUUUCUUGCGUGUGUUGCAGGUGUUGGGGGCAUACUGUGCAAUGAUGUGUGUCUUAGGAGGCCCAAAGACAACUGGUAGGAGUCUGUUCUUGCCUUCUGCCACAUGUAUCUUAGGAAUGCAUGGUGGUACACACCUUUAUCUGAUGAGCUAUCUUGGUGGCUUGACUCUAGGAGGUUUUAAGAUUGGACUGAACGUAUACAGCAUAAUGAGAUAGCAUAAGCCUAUGAGAACCCAUGUCAAAAUUUGGAUUAUCAUGUGUUUGAUAGCCUAACCUUCAACUGGUGGUGUUCUAGAAGGUUGUAGACCUUUAAGAGGUGGACCAUAGCUGGAGAAAGCAGGUCCUCAGUUACCAGGGCUUGAUUGUCAUGAUGGUUUAUAUCCUUAUAAACCAUGAGCCCACAUUAGCUUUUCCUCUCCCGUUGUUUCUUGUCAGAUAUCUGGCCUCAGUGCUGCCAGGCUGGAGGAAUCAUUAUGAUUGAAAAAUCCUAAGGUAUUAAUUUAUGGGUUGGUUGGUUUGGGAGGAAACAAUGCAGUUCUGAUUGUGUGUGUAUUGCUAAGGACGGAUGGCCCCAGGUGUGUGUGUGUGUGUGUGUGUGUGUGUGUGUGUGUGUGCACCAGAGUGUGUAUUGUGGUCAGAUUCCUUCCUUCACAAUGUGUGUUCCAGAGAUUGAACCCAAACACACUCACAUACACAUAAACAGAAUGAACACAGAAGUAAAUGUGAUUUUUAAAGCAUCUGUCAUGGUUUGUAUAUGCAUGACCCGGGGAGUGGUACUACUAGUAGGUGUGGCCUUGUUGGAGUAAGUGUGUCACUGUGGGUGUGGGCUUAAGACCCUCAUCCUAGCUACCUGGAAGUCAGUCUUCCAUAAGCAGCCUUCAGAUGAAGAUGUAGAACUCUCAGCUCCUCCUGCACCAUGUCUGCCUGGCGGCUGCCGUGUUCCUACUUUGAUGAUAAUGGACUGAACUUCUGAACCUGUAAGCCAGCCCCAAUUAAAUGUUGUCCUUUGUAAGACUUGCCUUGGUCAUGGUGUCUGUUCACCCUACCAUUAGUAAAACCCUAACUAAUACAGCAUCUUUCUCAAGUCUAGACCUUGCUGCCAUGUCUCCAGCCUAUCCAGGCAGCACUGACUCACGCUGCUCUUUCUGCCAAUCUCACUGGUGAACAUAGAUCCUCCAAGCACAGGAUUUUCUUUCUCACUCAAGUACUCAGCUACUUUUCACGUUAGUUUUUGAGACAGGCUUGUAAUUUUGCCAAGACUGGCUUUGAACUCAUGGACUGUUGCAGCCACACUCCUACCCCUACAUACUCACACACAGAUCCAGACACAUUUUUUUUUUUAUAAAGUAUCAAGAGAAAAGGAAGAGGUUAAGUUAUUUGGCAAAUCUUGAGGUGUUAAUCUUCGUUCCUUAGACCCAAGAUCAACUUUUUCUUGUCCCUCCUCUCCCCAGGAUUAUGCUUUAUCACAGACAUGAUGUGUUGAAUGUAGAGCUGAAGAACUCCUGCAAAGACACAUUUAUUUUCUUCUCUCACUCUCCUCCCCCAGCUCCAUAGACAGAAUCCCAGUUGAUGCCUGCGUGGAAACUGUUGAAAAAUCAAACAACAGUCUAGACUGUGAAUCUUCACUGUCAGUUUGAUUGGGUUUAGAAUCUCUAUAGAAGCACAUCCUGGGCGUGUCUAUGAGACUGCUUCCAGAGAGCUUUAACUGAGGAAUGAAUAUGGCACUGGCCUGUGGGCUGGAGUCCAGACCGAUCAGACAGGAGAAAGGCAGCUAAGCACCAGUAUUCAUUGCUCUGCUUCCUGCCUGUGGAUGUGACCAGCCACCUCAUGCUUCUCCCACUACGCCUUUCCCAUUAUGAUGGACUAUAGCCCUUCUCAAUCUGUGAGCCAAAAUGAGUCCCUCUGUAGUUACUUUGUGCCAAGUUAUGUGGUCAGAAUAAGAAAAGCAAUAUUUACACAAUCUAAUCUCCAGAAAGCUAACAGAAUAUUUUUUUAAAAAAAGAUGGUUGGCAUCUCAGAGUAGAUAUCCCCUGGGGAGGAAGAGGAUAUUAUAGCAUCAUGAAAUGUUCUUGUAGUUAAUUUUUGAGCCAAGAUUUAUAGGCUUGAAACUAUCCUUGAGACAGAAUAGUUUAGCAAGCUUUAAGAAAUAAAAAAAAAAACAAAACAAAAAAAGAAACAAAAAAAACCAUUCAUAUAUGCUACUAACAAUGAUAUUCGUCUGAUCCUUCUUAUUAAAAAACUCCGAGUAAAGGUAAUAUGAUGAGAAUAAAAUUAGACAUUCUGAUAAAAGUGGCAUUGUGAUAGGAAAAUCUUGAAUCAGAUUUAUCUGAUGUUUACUUUGGAAGACAAAUUUCAGUUGCAGGUAGAAAUUACAAUUGAGCUAUUGUUUCUAAUAAAAAAUGAGACAGUGUUGGGAUUUUCAGCAGGGUCAUCACCUCAUUGAUCCUUACAACAGGCUUUCACAUUUGUAGCAAUAAUAGUUCCAUUGGUUGCAGUGAAACAUAUAAAGACUUUUGUUUAAUAGUGAACUCAUUCAUUUCUCUGUAUUCUCCUGGCUCUUAAGAUGGAUGCUGACGGAGUUGGGGAUUUAGCUCAGUGGUAGAGCGUUUGCCUAGCAAGCGCAAGGCCCUGGGUUUGGUCCCCAGCUCCGAAAAAAAGAAAAGGAAAAAAAAAGUGUUUCUCACGCUGGGGUGCAUGUGAGAAUCAUCUGAUGUUGCUGUAGAUCCUCAAAGGGAGAUCACUGCAACCAAUUCUGUCAGUACAUGUAUACCCCAAAGAAUUCAAAGGGAUCAAAUGUUCAUAUACUAAUGUUCAUAGCAACACUAAUUAUAAUAGCAAAAUUGCUGGAAAAAUUCAAAUGUUAAAUGCGGUACAUAAAUACAAUAGAAUAUUGUUCCGAUAUCAAAAGGAAAUGACAUUUCUGAUCCCUGCUACAGGAGUUGGGGUUGUAGCUCAGUGACAGAGUAUAUGCAUAGUAUGACUGAAGCCCUAAAGUUAAUCUCUAACUCCCAAAAUAUACAAGGACUAACACACGUCUUAGCAUGGAUGGACUUGGAGAACACUGUGCAGUGAGUCAUCUAGAAGAUCGUAGAAUAAGUAAGCCAUAGAGACGGAAAAUAGAGUGGUGGCUCCCAGGGGCUGGGCAGCCAGGGAAGUAAAAGUCAGUUGUUUAGUGAAUAGCGAUCAUCUGGGGUGACGAGAAGUUCUGAGAGAGUAUAGUGGUUAUACUGCGCUUGUGAAUGGAUGUCACAGCACUGACGUGGUUACUUCAAGUGGUUGCUGUGAAGCCGAUCUUAGAACCUGGGAAGUGUGGGAAGGAGGACGAUGGUUCCAUACACUUUGCCUACGUAAUGUGGGCUUCCACAUCAUGACGCAUCCUCAGAUAACACAAGAAUUUGAGGCCAGCCUCAGCUACAUGAGCCUCUAUCUCAAAAUAAACAAGCAAAACUAAAAAAACCAAACCAAACCAACCAACCAACCAAACAACCAACCAAACAACAACAACAACAAAAAAAACCCAAGGCUGUGCAGAUGGCUCAGGGGCUAAGGGAGAGCACUUGGUGCUUUUCCAGAGGACCUGGGCUUGGCUCUCAGCACCCACAUGGUGGCCCAUGCCAUUUAUAUAUAAUUCUGGUUCCAGGAAAUCUGACCCUCUUCUGACCUCAGGAAGCACCAGGCAUGCAUGUAGUGCACAGACAUACAUAAAAGCAAAAUACCCAUACAUAUAAAAUUUGUUUUAUAUUUAAAAUAAAAACGCCAAAAGCUAAAAACCGAAACAUAGCAACCACUCCCAUAAGUUAAAAUGGUAAGUUUAAUGUUAGGCAUAAUUUAUAUCCUCAAGAUUCAUUUGAAAAACCAUAAGGGCUCACUGAUAUCUACUUCCCAAAUCCCAUAGACUUGGAUUUCAGUUGGUUUGGGUUGGGGUGAUUUUUAAAGUUCCUCAACAAAUCUUACAUGUAAUGAGGCCUAAGAAGAAAUGACUAGCCUGCAGGACAGUGGUGCUCAUCCGGGAGUCUACAUAGGAAUCAUUUAGGAAGCCUGGGUGUGGUGGAUUACACCUUUAGUCCCAGCACUCAGGAGGCAACUUCUCUGUCGUAGGUUUUGCAGACUCCAAAACUAUAAGCCACACAAACUUCUGUCACUUACAAAUUACCUGUUUGUGAAACUCUGUCCUCUGGGCAUAAGAUUGCCAUUAACCAUCACGAAGUCAAAGCAUCUGCAGCUGCACUUACCCAUAAAAAGCCCUCCCAGAUGGGGUCUUUGAACCCCUCAGUAUGGGGGUGGUGAGAAGGCCUUUAGACCCUAACACGAAACUGCACCUACUCACUCCUGUUUCCACCCCUCAGCUAUAUACAGCUCUGCAUCGGUUGCUUGUGGGCUGGGGAAUGCUAGACCAUAUGUAGGAGGUUACGGAAGAGAAUGCACCUAUGCAGAUUUUAGGAGGUCUUCAUCCAUGCUAGGGUGGAGUUUUAUAGUGACACAGCUGUCUGGUGGCAAGGGUAUGAGGGCCAUUCAUAAGUAACCCCCCAUACUCCUGUAAACAAAUCCAUAAACUCAUUGGUUCAAUAAGCUAGAUGUGGAUGACUACAUAGGCUUGGUCUUUCAUUGGUGUUCUAUUUAUAGCGAGUAGAUGUUUGCGCAUGCCUCCGGAGAAGUAAUGGUUCUUGCUGCGCUGCCGUGCUUUCUCCACCGUGAUGGAUUGUAUCCCCUUAGACAAUGAGCUGGAAAAAGUCCUUCCUUUCUUCCUUCCUUAAGUUGCUUUGACAGGUGUUUCCUCAAGGCAGUGAAAAAAAAAAGUGAUUAAGAAAAUGACUACAGGGGCUGGGGAUUUAGCUCAGUGGUAGAGCGCUUACCUAGGAAGCGCAAGGCCCUGGGUUCGGUCCCCAGCUCCGAAAAAAAGAACCAAAAAAAAAAAAAAAAAAAAAGAAAA